rnacentral:rRNA from 1 species
CUCAUGGCCCUUAUGUCCGGGGCUGCACACGUCCUACAAUGGUCGGUACAAAGGGAAGCAAGACCGCGAGGUGGAGCAAAUCCCAGAAAGCCGGCCCCAGUUCAGAUUGCAGGCUGAAACCCGCCUGCAUGAAGUUGGAAUCGCUAGUAAUCGCGUAUCAGCUAUGACGCGGUGAAUAUGUUCCCGAGCCUU